rnacentral:rRNA from 1 species
AUUGAACGCUGGCGGCAGGCCUAACACAUGCAAGUCGAACGAGUGGCGGACGGGUGAGUAAUGUCUGGGAAACUGCCUGAUGGAGGGGGAUAACUACUGGAAACGGUAGCUAAUACCGCAUACCAUCGGAUGUGCCCAUAUGUGCUUAGCUAGUUUGUGGGGUAACUGCUCACCAAGGCGACGCUCCCUAGCUGGUCUGAGAGGAUGACCAGCCAAACUGGAACGGAGACAGGGUCCAGACUCCUACGGGAGGCAGCAGUGGGGAAUAUUGCACAAUGGGCGCAAGCCUGAUGCAGCCAUGCCGCGUGUAUGAAGAAGGCCUUCGGGUUGUAAAGUACUUUCAGCGGGGAGGCGUUACCCGCAGAAGAAGCACCGGCUAACUUCGUGCCAGCAGCCGCGGUAAUUC